rnacentral:rRNA from 1 species
UACAGAGGUCCCCAAGCGUUGUUCGGAUUCACUGGGCGUAGAGGGUGCGCAGGUGGGCUGUCAAGUUCGAUGUGAAAGCCCCGGGCUUAACCCGGGAAUGGCAUUGAAAACUGAUGGUCUGGAGGAUUGGAGGGGGGACUGGAAUUCUUGGUGUAGCAGUGAAAUGCGUAGAUAUCAAGAGGAACACCAGUGGCGAAGGCGAGUCCCUGGACAAUUCCUGACACUGAGGCACGAAAGCCAA